rnacentral:rRNA from 1 species
GACGUAGGGUGCGAGCGUUGUCCGGAUUAUUGGGCGUAAAGAGCUCGUAGGCGGCUCGUCGCGUCGACCGUGAAAACCCGCGGCUUAACUGCGGGCUUGCGGUUGAUACGGGCGGGCUGGAGUUCGGUAGGGGAGACUGGAAUUCCUGGUGUAGCGGUGGAAAAUGCGCAGAUAUCAGGAGGAACACCGGUGGCGAAGGCGGGUCUCUGGGCCGAUACUGACGCUGAGGAGCGAAAGCGUGGGGAGCGAACAGG